GUAUAUGAGGUGAUUAAUUGGAGGGCAAAUCAAGUGCCAGCAGCCGCGGUAAUACUUGUUCCAAGAGUGUGUAUGAUGAUUGAUGCAGUUAAAAAGUCCGUAGUUUAUUUUUUUAAGAAGCAAUAUGAGGUGUACUGUAUAGUUGGGAGAAAGAUGAAAUGUGACGACCCUGACUGGACGAACAGAAGCGAAAGCUGUACACUUGUAUGUAUUUUUUGAACAAGGACGUAAGCUGGAGGAGCGAAGAUGAUUAGAUACCAUUGUAGUUCCAGCAGUAAACUAUGCCGACGAUGUGAUAUGGAAAUAUUAAUUUGUAUUACAUAAUAGAAAUUUGAGUUUUUUGGCUCUGGGGAUAGUAUGAUCGCAAGAUUGAAAAUUAAAGAAAUUGACGGAAGAAUACCACAAGGAGUGGAUUGUGCGGCUUAAUUUGACUCAACGCGAGGUAACUUACCAACAUUUUAUUAUUUUGAGAGAACGGUUUUUUGUUUGAGAAUGAUAACAGUGGUGCAUGGCCGUUUUCAAUGGAUGCUGUGAAGUUUUGAUUAAUUUCAACAAGACGUGAGACCCUUAUUUUUUAUUAAAGACAGACACAAUCAGUGUAGGAAGGAAAGGAUUAAAACAGGUCCGUUAUGCCCUCUGACAUUUUGGGCUGCACGCGCAAUACAAUAGAUAUA
rnacentral:rRNA from 1 species